rnacentral:lncRNA from 10 species
UGUGACGCCGCGCUCCUACUUCCGGGGCGGCUGGUUCUUCCCGUCCUCCCCACCCCGGGGACACGCUUCUAGUAGGCCAAACUCCCAGGUGACCCCCGCAAGAAACGCGGUCCGGAGAGGGUCUGGCCCCACUGCUGGGGCAAGGGCUCUAGGCGCCCGGACCCCACGCCCGCAGCCUGCGGAGAACGUGCCGACAAGGACCUGUAGGGCCCCACUCCCCCUCCUCCCUCCCUCGGCGCAGCCCGGCCCAGGGGUCUGUCCUCCCAGGCCCAGGAAAGGAGGAAACCCACUUCCGCCGCGUCCAUGAUCUCCCGCGGCUUCUCCUGACUCUUGCGGCUGGCGCUGGCGCUGGGCAUCGGGACACGGAACUGGGCAGUGGACACCACCCUCCCUCGCAGGCUUCCAAAGUAAUUUGAAGGCCUUCCCUGACUUAAAGUGGAUGCUGCUUUGGAAAGCACUGGAAAAAUGGAUCCUGUCUUUCUUAGCCAAGGACUGGUCUCUUUUCUCCAAUGUGUCCCUAACAGAGUGGUGAGGCUGGCUCUUCCCACCAGUACAGACAGAAUUUUCAAUUCACAAAUCAUCUGAAAAACAGGAAAUUUUGGAGAAACAUGCUUAUGAUAACAAACAAGGGAUCUAUCGUGUGGUAUAGAAGUUUACACAAAGAGGCAUCUGAUUUUAAGUUUUUGUUUUUUUUUUUUUUUUUUUUUUUACCGUUCUGGGCUUCUGGCUGCAUUCUAGGAAGAUCAUUCCUUAAAAGAAAUAGCCAUAUGGCUUAUAAGGGACUAUAUCUUAAGACUAUGUGUCUUCUGCAGUUCUUUGCAUAGAGUCAACGUUGAAGGACAAGCAACUUCAAAUUUCCAAGCAACAAAAUUAUGUUCGGGUGGUUUUCUGAAAGCGAGAUCUUAAGAACCACCUGUAUCAGAAUCCCAUGAAGAGCUUGUUUAGUGUGCAAAUUUACAGAUUGUCCCCCCUCAGAAAUGCUCAUUUAGGAGUUCCUGUCCUUUGCGGGGACAUGGAUGAAGCUGGAAACCAUCAUUCUCAGCAAACUAACACAGGAACAGAAAACCAAACACUGCAUGUUCUCACUCAAAAGUGGGAGUUGAACAAUGAGAACACAUGGACACAGGGAGGGGAACGUCACACACCAGGGCCUGUCGGGGGUGGGAGGUAAGGGGAGGGAGAGGAUUAGGACAAAUACCUAAUGCAUGUGGGGCUUAAAACCUAGAUGAUGGGUUGAUAGGUGCAGCAAACCACCAUGGACAUGUAUACCUAUGUAACAAACUUGCAUGUUCAGUACAUGUAUCCCAGAACUUAAAGUAAAAUAUAAAACAAUAAUAAAAAGGAAAUGCUCAUUCAGGAGUUUUGGGGUGGGGGUUCAGGAGGCUGCAGCCUUAACAAUUACCUCUGGUGAUUUUGACACAGGUAGCACAGCAGCCAAACUUGGAGAGAUUUGUUCACAGCACUGCAUCACCAACCUUACUUUCUGUUAGGCCUUUAAUCACUUUUUUUUUUUUUUUUUUUUUUUUUUUCUGAGACAGGGUCUUGCUCUAUCACCCAGGCUGGAGUACAGUGGCACGAUCUUGGCUCACUGCAAUCUCUGUAUCCUGGGUUCAAGCAAUCCUCUCUGCCUUGGCCUCCUGAGUAGCUGGGACCACAGACAUGCUCCAUUAUGCCCAACUAAUUAAAAACAUUUUUUUUAGAGGCAGGCUGGUCUCGAACUCCUGAGCUCAAGCAAUCUGCCUGCCUCGGCCUCCCAAAGUGCUGGGAUUACAGGUGUGAGCCACUGCGCCCGGCCUUUUAAUCACUUUUAAACCAGCAACCCUAAUCUGCCUGUCCCUUGAAUGGAUCCGGAUAAAGGUGUGGCAAACAAGCCUCCUGUCACAGUGGGGUGUGACAGUCACGGCAUCACCCCUUCACCACAUCAUGUGCUGCCAGUCAUCACUUCUGCUGUUGCCACCAACCCUUGCGUUUCCCUUUGUCACUUCCCCCUUGCCACCACCAACGGCCACUGUCCCUCUGCUCCUCACCCUCCAUAGCUGAGUCAGAUCCAGCAUUGGGCACUUGAGGAAGAAGCCACUGUGGAAGGCGGGAUGAGGGUGUUCCCAUUCUACAUUCACAAGCCCACAGCUUGGAGAAGAAGCACACCUAAUUCUGACCCUGGCUUCUGAAGAAGCUCUGCAAACCUGGCUAGAAAGUUGGGCCUGUGGUUUGAGGUUCCUGCUGCCUUUGAUUUUACAAUGAGUGGAAAUUGAGGUUGAGUAACAGGUCUCUUGCCCAAGUAUUAAGGGCCACCACGAAGCAUACAGCAAUGAAGGCAGGAGCUGAUGACAUGUGGUUGGUUCCCCCCUCUAGGCCAAGUAUCUUUGUAUAGGGAAGGCCGACAUGGCCAUCUUCACGGUUUGGUAUUAGUGGAGUGUCUUAUACAUACUGAAAUUUGUUUUUGUUUUCAGGUGCUAAAAGGAUAAUACCAAGGAAAACUAUGGGUGGGGGCAGUGAAUGGCCAGCAUGCCUAUAAUCCCAGCACUUGAAGCCAGGAGUUCGAGACCAGCCUGGGAAACAAAGCAAGACCCUGUGUCUAAAAAAAUUUUUUUAAAAAUAAGCUGGGCAUGGUGGCACGUGCCUAUAGUCCCAGCUACUCAGCUACUCGGGAGACCAAGACAUGGAAUAAACUUGACAAGUGCUAAAGAUGCUCUUUGAUUUUUGUGUGGCAUGAGACCUCAGGCUGAAACUUCUCAUCUGAGCCAUUGAAGGGAGCCUCUCAUCUCUCCACCGAGAGGGGAGACCAGAAUGCUCUGUUUCUGGCAGGAAUCUGACACCACUUACUCCUUGGGUAGAAACUCCCCCAAGUCUGAACUAUGUGAUUGCCUGAGCCCUGCUUCUUGUUCAUUAAGACUGCUCCUCUGAAACGGAAUUGAUGAAUUUUUAGUGGCUAUUAGAAGCAUUUGGGAUCCAUAGGCAUCAGGGUUUGAUGCAUGGCCCUCAUCUCUGUGGGCUCCUGUGCAAUGAUUCUCAUCUGUCUUAGUUAGAAAGUGAAUUAAUCUUGACCUUGGCCUCAGGGGUGUGGUUCUCUGCCCUCUUACACAUCUUCAAUUCGCUUCUUUAUCAGAAGCACUUGUUUUAGGCCCAGGCUCCCCCAAUUUUAAUGACAUUUAGACAUUUGUCUUUAAGUUACAUUGCUUUGAUUUUAAUCAAAAUCUAUAUUUCUAGUAUUAUAUGUUUCCAGAAAGUUCUCAUUCUGGAUUGUAAUUUAAUUACAUGGAUCAUUAAAGCUUUGAAGGAUGCUAAUGGGCAGAAAAAAGAGACUUAACAAAACGAAAGUUAUUAUUAGGAAUUACAAAUCACUUAACAUUUCAACAUCACUCGUCGGAUGUGGGCAUUUUGUUGAAAGAGACCUUGUUUUGAACAGUGACAGUGCAGAAGACCUAUGGAAGAAACAAGCUUCCAACUUGAUUUCUAUUGUUAUGCAUGCAUAGCAAAUUAUUAAUUCUAUUCUAAUAGGGUAAUAGAUUUAGAAAUACUAUUAGCAGAAAACUUGAUGUAUUAGGCAAUACUACAUACCACAUUAGUCUAACCGCUCAACUGUAAUUUUUCAUCCAUACUUUCUUGGGAUGUAAAUAAAAUUGAUAUUAUACAAUGAAAAUAAAAUUGCCCACUAGUCUUGCUUAUUCUCUUGG